rnacentral:rRNA from 1 species
UACUGCAGCCAUGUCACCCUGCAACUCACAGCUGGCAGCCCACUGAAGCUCAGCAGGUGUGAGCCUGGUCAGUACCUGGAUGGGAGACCUCCUGGGAAAAACUAAGGUUGCUGCUGGAA